GAGUUUGAUCCUGGCUCAGAUUGAACGCUGGCGGCAGGCUUAACACAUGCAAGUCGAGCGGUAACAGAGAGUAGUUUACUAUUCUGCUGACGAGCGGCGGACGGGUGAGUAAUGCCUAGGAAUCUGCCUGGUAGUGGGGGAUAACUUGCCGAAAGGUAAGCUAAUACCGCAUACGUCCUACGGGAGAAAGCAGGGGACUCUUCGGAGCCUUGCGCUAUUAGAUGAGCCUAGGUCGGAUUAGUUAGUUGGUGAGGUAAUGGCUCACCAAGACUGCGAUCCGUAACUGGUCUGAGAGGAUGAUCAGUCACACUGGAACUGAGACACGGUCCAGACUCCUACGGGAGGCAGCAGUGGGGAAUAUUGGACAAUGGGGGAAACCCUGAUCCAGCCAUGCCGCGUGUGUGAAGAAGGUUUUAGGAUUGUAAAGCACUUUAAGUUGGGAGGAAGGGCAGUUAACUAAUACUUGACUGUUUUGACGUUACCGACAGAAUAAGCACCGGCUAACUUCGUGCCAGCAGCCGCGGUAAUACGAAGGGUGCAAGCGUUAAUCGGAAUUACUGGGCGUAAAGCGCAUGCAGGCGGUCGGCUAAGUUGGGUGUGAAAGCUCCUGGCUCAACUGGGAGAGGUUGCUCAAGACUGGCGGACUCGAGGAUGGUAAGGGAAAGCGGAAUUCCGGGUGUAGUGGUGAAAUGCGUAGAUAUCCGGAGGAACACCAGUGGCGAAGCGGCUUUCUGGACCAUUACUGACGCUCAGAUGCGAAAGCUAGGGUAGCAACGGG
rnacentral:rRNA from 1 species